AACGAACGCUGGCGGCAGGCUUAACACAUGCAAGUCGAACGCCCCGCAAGGGGAGUGGCAGACGGGUGAGUAACGCGUGGGAACAUACCCUUUCCUGCGGAAUAGCUCCGGGAAACUGGAAUUAAUACCGCAUACGCCCUACGGGGGAAAGAUUUAUCGGGGAAGGAUUGGCCCGCGUUGGAUUAGCUAGUUGGUGGGGUAAAGGCCUACCAAGGCGACGAUCCAUAGCUGGUCUGAGAGGAUGAUCAGCCACAUUGGGACUGAGACACGGCCCAAACUCCUACGGGAGGCAGCAGUGGGGAAUAUUGGACAAUGGGCGCAAGCCUGAUCCAGCCAUGCCGCGUGAGUGAUGAAGGCCUAGGGUUGUAAAGCUCUUUCACCGAUGAAGAUAAUGACGGUAGUCGGAGAAGAAGCCCCGGCUAACUUCGUGCCAGCCGCCGCAGUAAUAC
rnacentral:rRNA from 1 species